rnacentral:lncRNA from 1 species
AGAAUCAUCAUCAUUCCCAUUUUAUGGAGGAGAAAACUGAAUCACAGAGUCGCCCUUGGCCACACAACUAGCAAGCUUGUCUCCAGUCUAUACUCCUAACUUCUAGGUUCCCUUACAGAGCUUGGAGUCCAUCAGAUUUUGGUGCAAAGACUCACUCUGCUACUUAGUAGGCACUGAGCUGCCCCAUCCACGUGUGUCAGAGGCCCCCUGCCCAGAGUUCCCAGGAGCCUCGGAGUCCAAAGUCCCUCGUUGCUGGUGACGACGGUUCCCUGCCUGUGCUUCCAGCGCGCGAUCCCGACGGCAAACGGCGCAGGCCUUUCCCGUUUGUUAGCGCCUCAAGUCUCUGUCCAGAGGACCAGGAGCCGCUGACUCCAGACUGCCCACCAGGCUCUGGUUCUGCAUGUGCUUAACAGCCAACUGGGACGGACAGCUCCAGUCCCCGUGUCCCUCACCCGUGUGGCCUUUAUCAGACCUUCGCAGCCCUAGCACCAAGUCCUACCCCAAACCCUCAGCUGCCCACCCUGCAACACUGACCAAACCCUGAGUCCAGCCAUCUGGCCCUCAGAAACUGUCCCCGGCUCCAGGCCAAGCUGCCUUACAGAUGGGCCCUGGGUUCCCUAGGAAACUGCAGGCUGAACUGGCUGUCAGUGGAGGGUUUCAGCCGUGUGGUUGGCCACCUGGGCAGAAGCCUUGCAAACUGCCUUCUUACCUGGUACUUCCCCUUCCUGAGCUCCAAACUCAACCCUUUCUGAGUCACCUGGGCCUUGGACACCUGUCCCUUUGGAGUCAUUUACAUCUUAGAAACCCAGGCCUUCUAAAUCGCAGUCACCUUGGAUAUCAGAUGAGUGCCCUGCCUCACUUCAGUCUUCUGGAUUCUCAAAUAUUUCAGCUGGUUCUUGGUGUUCCUCCUGCAUAUCCUAGGCCUGUGAGGGCUGGACUCCAAGAACUGGCCACGCCGUUCCUAAAACCAAGUCUCUGAGUCGCCAGAGCCUUGGUUACUUGCCCAGAUUAACAAAACCCAGAAGCAGGGUCAGCGUCCGGCCUUCACUCACCCCUCCGCUCAUGCAUCCACUUCUCCCGUCAACGAGGGUUCACGGAGCAGGUGCUUUGGAGCCACAGCACGUGCCAGUCGCCCAGCAAGGAAUGGCAAAACAUGCUUCCCAGACUGCAGAUGCUCACAGCCCAGGGGAAGGUGUCCAAGGCGAUCUAACCCAUUUCAGCCCCAUUGAACCAUGUCACAGUGAGUUGGGCAAGUUUCACGUACCAGGUGAGCACUCGGGAAAGGCAUCUAACGCGUGCAGGGACUGCCUUCCUCAGACAGUGAGUGAUAUGGAGUCUAGGCUGAAUCCUGAAUGGCAGCAAGAGCGGGGGAAGGGGUUCCAGUGGGGACGGCACUCCGGAUGUCCCGUGUAAAAACCCACAGAGAGCGCGACUCAGAAGGGGGAAUGGAAAACAUCGCAUGACGGGUGUCACGGGAGAGGGCUGCGGGGCCUGACCGUAUCGAAGUUGGUUGCUACCCUGAGGGCGAUGGGAAGCCACAGAGGGAGUCUGAGUGGCACCCACCCCACCUGCUCUGCUCUUCACGACCAAGAGCUUCACUUUGAGAAUCUCACUUUGCCAUCUGAUGGAGGAUGAGUUAGAGGGAAGGCGAGGUCUCGGGCAGGAAGAGGCGACUGUGGCAGGAUUCCAAGAAUGUGGUAAGGGCCUGCACCAAGGGACUGGUAAAAAGCACUGGGGAUGUAACAGCAGUGGGACUUGGUGGUUGACUGGGCAUGAAGAGGGUGCAGCAGGGAGGGGUCUCGAGUGAUGCCCAGGUCACCAGGAUGAUGGAUGCUGGAUGAUGGGAACGUGGUGCUGUGAAGUGUCCUUAGAGGAUAAAGGAGGAACGGGAGACAAGGUCCUCAACAGCAAGAGCAGUGCUGACUCCAAGGCGACCUCGGAACUUCGUGUGCGGAGCUGCGUCGCCAGGAGCCACCCUGGCCAAAGGCAGAGGUCUGAGAAUGAGCAGCACGCGGAGGAAGUGAAGCCACGCGCACUGUCGAGUGAGAAGAGCAGAGGGCCGACGAUGGAGCAUGAAGAGGUGGACGUGUACAUAGUCUCCAAGUGUCUUCCGUACCUGACACUUUUCCUACUUGUGACAAACAAGUAACUUUACAACGGAGAGACCUGCCAGAUCCCAGCCUAACCCAAUGAUCAAAAUUAACAUCUCCAGGAAUGGACCAAAGACCUCCUGAUACGACGCCCUGCGAAGGACACCACCUCCCUUCUGUAAUAUUCCUCCCCCAGUGCAUAAUCCGAGUCUAAUCAAGGGAACAGCAGACAAAUGCGUGCUGAAGAACAUUGUACAAAACAACAGGCCUGUGCUCUUCAAAACUGUCAAAGUUAAAAAAAACAACAAAAAAAAACAAAAAAAACCGAAAAGCUAAGAAACCGUUCUGGAUUAAGGGAGACGAAAGAACAAACACAAUAACUAAAGAAUUCACUGCAUGAUCCUAGAUUAGAUCCUGUAGCAAGAUUUAUAAAAGGGGGGGGGAGCUUGUUUUCUUUUGCUUCAGUUGCUUUGUGGCAAUUAGCGAAAUUUGAAAUAAAAUUUAUAGUCAUUAUAGACA